rnacentral:rRNA from 1 species
AUAGGGUCAAGUGAAUAAGAGCACGUGGUGGAUGCCUUGGCAAUGAUAGGCGACGAAGGACGUGAUAGCCUGCGAUAAGCUUCGGGGAGCUGGCAAAUUAGCUUUGAUCCGGAGAUUUCCGAAUGGGGAAACCCACCGAAAGGUAUCGCAUAGUGAAUACAUAGCUAUGCGAGGCGAACCGGGUGAACUGAAACAUCUCAGUAGCUCGAGGAAAAGACAUCAACCGAGAUUCCGAAAGUAGUGGCGAGCGAAAUCGGAAGAGCCUGUUAGUGAUAGCACAAGACAUAACGGAACAGUUUGGAAAGACUGGCCAUAGCGGGUGAUAGCCCCGUACGUGAAAUGACCUGUGUGGUACUAAGCUAACGACAAGUAGGGCGGGACACGAGAAAUCCUGUCUGAAUAUGGGGGGACCAUCCUCCAAGGCUAAAUACUCAUCAUUGACCGAUAGUGAACUAGUACCGUGAGGGAAAGGCGAAAAGAACCCCGGGAGGGGAGUGAAAUAGAUCCUGAAACCGCGUGCUUACAAAAAGUAGGAGCCUCGUAAGGGGUGACUGCGUACCUUUUGUAUAAUGGGUCAGCGACUUACAUUCAGUGGCAAGGUUAACCGAAUAGGGAAGCCGUAGAGAAAUCGAGUCCGAAUAGGGCGAUCAGUCGCUGGGUGUAGACCCGAAACCAAGUGAUCUAUCCAUGGCCAGGAUGAAGGUGCCGUAACAGGUACUGGAGGUCCGAACCGACUAGUGUUGCAAAACUAGCGGAUGAGCUGUGGAUAGGGGUGAAAGGCUAAACAAACUUGGAAAUAGCUGGUUCUCUCCGAAAACUAUUUAGGUAGUGCCUCAAGUAUUACCAUCGGGGGUAGAGCACUGUUUUGGCUAGGGGGUCAUGGCGACUUACCAAACCAAGGCAAACUCCGAAUACCGAUGAGUACAGCUUGGGAGACAGAGCACCGGGUGCUAACGUCCGGACUCAAGAGGGAAACAACCCAGACCGCCAGCUAAGGUCCCUAAAAUUGGCUAAGUGGGAAACGAAGUGGGAAGGCUAAAACAGUCAGGAUGUUGGCUUAGAAGCAGCCAUCAUUUAAAGAAAGCGUAAUAGCUCACUGAUCGAGUCGUCCUGCGCGGAAGAUGUAACGGGGCUAAGCCAGUUACCGAAGCUGCGGAUUUGCAAUUUAUUGCAAGUGGUAGGAGAGCGUUCUGUAAGCCUGUGAAGGUGCGUUGUAAAGCGUGCUGGAGGUAUCAGAAGUG